UCCUUUUGUAAAGUAGGGCUUCUGUGUCA
rnacentral:piRNA from 1 species